rnacentral:rRNA from 1 species
UACGUAGGGAGCAAGCGUUGUCCGGAAUCAUUGGGCGUAAAGCGCGCGUAGGCGGCCCUGUAAGUCCGUUGUGAAAGUCAAAGGCUCAACCUUUGAAAGCCGAUGGAUACUGCAGGGCUAGAGUCCGGAAGAAGCGAGUGGAAUUCCUGGUGUAGCGGUGGAAUGCGCAGAUAUCAGGAGGAACACCCAUAGCGAAGGCAGCUCGCUGGGACGGUACUGACGCUAAGGCGCGAAAGCGUGGGGAGCGAACAGG